ACGCUAGCUACAGGCUUAACACAUGCAAGUCGAGGGGCAGCAUGGUCUUAGCUUGCUAAGACUGAUGGCGACCGGCGCACGGGUGAGUAACACGUAUCCAACCUGCCGUCUACUCUUGGACAGCCUUCUGAAAGGAAGAUUAAUACAAGAUGGCAUCAUGAGUCCGCAUGUUCACAUGAUUAAAGGUAUUCCGGUAGACGAUGGGGAUGCGUUCCAUUAGAUAGUAGGCGGGGUAACGGCCCACCUAGUCUUCGAUGGAUAGGGGUUCUGAGAGGAAGGUCCCCCACAUUGGAACUGAGACACGGUCCAAACUCCUACGGGAGGCAGCAGUGAGGAAUAUUGGUCAAUGGGCGAGAGCCUGAACCAGCCAAGUAGCGUGAAGGAUGACUGCCCUAUGGGUUGUAAACUUCUUUUAUAAAGGAAUAAAGUCGGGUAUGCAUACCCGUUUGCAUGUACUUUAUGAAUAAGGAUCGGCUAACUCCGUGCCAGCAGCCGCGGUAAUACGGAGGAUCCGAGCGUUAUCCGGAUUUAUUGGGUUUAAAGGGAGCGUAGAUGGAUGUUUAAGUCAGUUGUGAAAGUUUGCGGCUCAACCGUAAAAUUGCAGUUGAUACUGGAUAUCUUGAGUGCAGUUGAGGCAGGCGGAAUUCGUGGUGUAGCGGUGAAAUGCUUAGAUAUCACGAAGAACUCCGAUUGCGAAGGCAGCCUGCUAAGCUGCAACUGACAUUGAGGCUCGAAAGUGUGGGUAUCAAACAGGAUUAGAUACCCUGGUAGUCCACACGGUAAACGAUGAAUACUCGCUGUUUGCGAUAUACUGCAAGCGGCCAAGCGAAAGCGUUAAGUAUUCCACCUGGGGAGUACGCCGGCAACGGUGAAACUCAAAGGAAUUGACGGGGGCCCGCACAAGCGGAGGAACAUGUGGUUUAAUUCGAUGAUACGCGAGGAACCUUACCCGGGCUUAAAUUGCAGAUGAAUUACGGUGAAAGCCGUAAGCCGCAAGGCAUCUGUGAAGGUGCUGCAUGGUUGUCGUCAGCUCGUGCCGUGAGGUGUCGGCUUAAGUGCCAUAACGAGCGCAACCCUUGUUGUCAGUUACUAACAGGUUCCGCUGAGGACUCUGACAAGACUGCCAUCGUAAGAUGUGAGGAAGGUGGGGAUGACGUCAAAUCAGCACGGCCCUUACGUCCGGGGCUACACACGUGUUACAAUGGGGGGUACAGAGGGCCGCUACCACGCGAGUGGAUGCCAAUCCCCAAAACCUCUCUCAGUUCGGACUGGAGUCUGCAACCCGACUCCACGAAGCUGGAUUCGCUAGUAAUCGCGCAUCAGCCACGGCGCGGUGAAUACGUUCCCGGGCCUUGUACACACCGCCCGUCAAGCCAUGGGAGCCGGGGGUACCUGAAGUGCGCAACCGCGAGGAGCGCCCUAGGGUAAAACUGGUGACUGGGGC
rnacentral:rRNA from 1 species